UAAAUUAAAGCAGUGGCGUGGCUUGAAAAGCAUGUAUUUUUUAAUACCGAAAAACUAUGAGUAACUAGUUUUUGCAGGCAAGCUGUCAAAGAUUGCUACAGCUGUGUUGGGGGGGGGCAUGGCACACCUUUAUGUUGUUUUUGAGGUGCGUGUCAUUGAUCUUACUAAUAAUGAAAUGCAUCUUGGCAUACUCUUUUGAAGGAUUUUCCCUAAUUAUAAUGAUUCUCUAAAAAAAUAGUUUUCCAUCCUAAACAUAUUUCAGAUUUUGUAAAACCUUUUUCAUUCUGGAAAAUUUAGCAAAUUUUAAUUAGAUCGACUAAAUGUGCAUUGUUAAGUCCAUUGUGUUUGUGCAUAAUGCUGUGAAUUGUAUGGAUGAAAAUUAAAUAAGUACACAAUUUUCUGCCAGAUUCCUCAUAAUUAUAUGUUUAUUGUUUAAGCUUUUUUAUUAUUUUUUAUUUUCAGAAUAAAACAUGUUUGAAAUUUGUUAUUCACUGAAGGAGCUAUAGAUUAGAAUAACAGGAGAACAAUAUUUAUUUUUAGCUACUGUGUCUUCAUAUGAUUUUUAUAUAAAUACAAAGCCUGAAAAAUUUAA